AUGCUGUUCACCUGGGCAGGUUGAGUCUUGGUUAUUUAAGCUGCCUCCUCAGUCUGACCCACCGUCAUCAUCCUGCUGCGUUUUGGACUCAAAUCUUUUUAAAGUGUGACUUUGUGACCGUUGGUCUCGACUGCGGCGUGCUCGGCGAGGUGUGCACGGUUACCUGACAGGUGAACCUGCUGCAGGUCGUGUUUUGGAGCCAGGAGGUGCACAAAAACAUGAAGACUUCAACAGUUUAAGGAAAAACUGCUUUGAAUUUCAGGUUUUUGUGUGGAGAACCUCAUCAGCUGAUAAACUGCUUCAUUACGCUCGUCUCAUCAAUUGUGACUCAAAGACCAGCUGAUUCUGGCAACGUAAGGACUUAAUUUAAGGUCUGAGUUUAAAAAUAAAUCUGACUGUUCUCGGCUUU